CACAUAUCUCACUGUAAAACCCUACGGGAGAGCAGGGAAUGUAGAUUUUGCUCUGAUGUUGCUGAAGGAGAUGAAUACUGUUCUCUCCGGCUGUACACUUCCACACUGUGUAGAACCUGGCUGGGAAGACAUACCCAGGUAAAACCUACAAGUUCUUGUCUUCUCUGCUUUCCCAGGAUGACAGCUGACUCUGUUCGUUAUCUCAGGAUCUCUUCUCUCCUUUGAGGGCAAGAGAAUGUGCAGUGUUGCAGUACCAGUAUAACCCGGAGCUUACCUCUUGGAGAAAUGCUUCCCCUUCGUGAUGUGAAGGAUAAUUCUUGGUUUUAUGUGUCUAAUCCAACACAUGGAGGGGUUCUCUGCCUCUUUCUCGAGAUGUAUGAGCAGGGAACUCAGGAUGUAUGGGGUUUUCUGGGAUGACUUGGGAAGGGGACCCUCAAAAACUGUCCCCAGAGAGCAGAUGUCAGCUCCUGCCCCUCUGCUCUCCUGUGAGGAAGAUGCAGGCUGCCAUGAGGGAGCUGUGGGCAAUGAGGAGCCAUAGGAUAUGAAGAGCUGUAGGCCACGAGGAGCUGUAGGCCAUGAGGAGCUGUAGGAUAUGAGGAGCUGUAGACCACCAUGUAGGAGCUGCAGAAUUCCAUGAAGGAGCUGUAGACCUCUAUGAGGGAGCUUUGGGCCAUGAGGAACUGUGGGACAUGAGGAGCUGUGGGACAUGAGGAGCUGUAGACCUCCAUGAAGGAGCUGUAGGCCAUGAGGAGCUGUAGGACAUGAGCUGUAGCCCACCACGGAGGAGCUGUAGACUGCCAUGAGGGAACUGUGGGCCAUGAGGAGCUGUGGGACAUGAGGAGCUGUAGACCUCCAUGAAGGAGCUGCAGACCAUGAGGAGCUGUUGGUCAUGAGCUCUGUAGGCCACCAUGAGGCCUCCCUUCAAUCUCUGCUUCUCUGGGCUGAGCAAACCAAGGGACCUCAGUUUUCCUCAUGCAUUUUUCCCUCUAGGAUCUCUUUAGCAGGCUGCCCAGAGCAGGAAGCCAAGGCAGCUGUUCCAAAUUCCUCUUUGGAAUAGCCACUUCUUGUCCUAUAUCUGCAAGGGACCACAGUGGGUCCCAGAUCUCAUCAUGGUCUGCCCGACAGAAGGGAAUGGACACAACAGUGUCCCCAGGCAGGGCAGCACGGCAUUGUGCCACAUGUGGAGGAGAGCCAAGGGACCAGGCUGGACCAGGACCAAAUGGUUACAAAAUGGCCAUCAAUAAACAGAGUCCGGAAAUUAGCAGGUCUUGAAACUUGGAGAAAGCGAUGUCCUGGAACAGGUUCCAGCAGGAGCAGUGGAGGCAAGAAGCCCACGUGGUUUAAAAUUGAGCUUUAUGAAUAGGUUUUAUUAUGUGGCUGCCAGCAAUAGCAAGGGCUGAAUUGAUGGCUGGGAAGGUUCCUUUUAAGGCAUUUUGGUCUUUGCUCCAUGCUUUGCAUUCUCCUGGGAUUUUUUAAGGUGACCUUCAAAGGAUGGCUUUUAGAAAGCAAAUUCUAUCACACUGUGAUUUCUUUGCAAAGUAUAGAGAAACCCUGAAAGAUUUUUAAAUAUUUGUGUUAGUUUAUGCUUGAUGGUUGCUUUUGGACGGACAGGAAAGUUGAGUCUAGUUGUGCUGGAAGCCCUGCUGGUCUUCUGAUGCGUCUGUUGGGAGAGUGGCUUUAAUGUCUGCACUCCUCCAGUGAGUUCAUUG
ensembl:lncRNA